rnacentral:rRNA from 1 species
AUUGAACGCUGGCGGCAGGCCUAACACAUGCAAGUCGAACGAGUGGCGGACGGGUGAGUAAUGUCUGGGAAACUGCCCGAUGGAGGGGGAUAACUACUGGAAACGGUAGCUAAUACCGCAUACCAUCGGAUGUGCCCAGAUGGGAUUAGCUAGUAGGUGGGGUAAAGGCUCACCUAGGCGACGAUCCCUAGCUGGUUUGAGAGGAGGACCAGCCACACUGGAACUGAGACACGGCCCAGACUCCUACGGGAGGCAGCAGUGGGGAAUAUUGGACAAUGGGGGCAAGCCUGAUGCAGCCAUGCCGCGUGUGCGAUGAAGGCCUUCGGGUUGUAAAGCACUUUUAGCGGGAAAGCGGUACCUGCAGAAUAAGCACCGGCUAACUACGUGCCAGCAGCCGCGGUAAUAC